AAAACGGUCCUUUUCAGGGCCACCAAACUGUUCUGAAAAGCCUGU
rfam:Daphnia magna strain Xinb3 scaffold01581, whole genome shotgun sequence.